GUGAGGACAAAAUUAUUUCCUUUUUGUUUGUAAUUAAAAGAUUUCUUGUUUGCCUGAUAUUUCAAUAUUAUUUUUGGCUUACUAGUAAAACACCCAAGUUUUUUAAUACAUUUGCAGGAGUCAGUUUCUAUGAUACCAAUAUUUCAAGCCAUCAUCACCUACAUUAUAAUUACAAUUUUUUUUGGCUGUAACUCAAAUCUACAUCUACUGCAAAAAUAAAUAUAUUAGGCCAGAAACUUAAAUAAAUAAAGACUCCACGAAAUGAUGAAGCAUUUCUAAUCAUUU
rnacentral:lncRNA from 1 species